UCUCAAAGUCCUGGGCUCAAGCAACCCUCAUGCCUUGGCCUCUCAAAGUGCUAGGAUUACAGGCAUGAGCUAUCAUGUCCAGCCUAGCUACCCCUUUUCUAUACUUUCCUAGCAUCAUGUGUGGGUCUUUCUCAUACUAUCUACAGCACACUGUGAUUGUGUAUUUACCCAUAUUUCUCCCAAAUGACUAUAAACACCUCAAGGGAAAGGAUUAUAGCUUAUUCAUAUUUGAAUCCUUAGUAUUUAUGACAAUGCUUGGCUCAUAAUAAGCUCUCAAGAGAUAUUCAUUCCAUUGAAUUGAAAUGACUUCCACUUGGGUUUCACAGUAGAAUACUCAUUACUCAUCAGACUUACUCAGGGGACAAGUCUCUGGCCUCAUUUUCAUUUGCAUCUUGGCCAUGAUUUUGCCUACUGUCAAUCACCAUGAAGUACAGAAAAGCAAACUGAGCUAUGGUGAGCCAAAUUAACUGGACCUAAGAUGACCUCAUCAGCAAAGCGCCCUAAGCAAUCAAGCAAUCGGGUCAGCUAGUUGCAGCCUAUAGUUAUCGUGGAAAACUGGUUGCUACUUUGAUCUCAGCUCACCUUGCCAAAUACUCCUUUUGUUUGAAAGAUAGUCAUAACAAGUACAAAACAACACUGAGUGAAUAUUUUUAAUAUUAUAAGCACCUAGAUAAAUUUAAUUUCUAUUUCCAUUAAUGAUCUGAAUAACCUAAAUUCUUCUAAUACCUAUAUUUGUCCAAUUUUAAGGUAUUCUGACUUAGGCAGAAAUUGGGCAAUUAUCUGAUUAAUUCAGGCCAAUAUUUUUAACACUGGAUUUCUGCAUCACAAGAAUUGUUAAUUUAUUCUUAUAUCCUCAUUCCUGGUACACAAUGGGUGCUCAGAAGUAGCUAGGAUUUACUGAGAGCUUACUAUAUGCUAAACUGUACAACAAUGUGUUAUCUUACAUUAAGUCUCACAAAAAUUAAAACUCUCAAAAAACUUCGCACUAAUUGUUUGAGAUAGAUGAGAUUACAAUCUGAGUCUUAAGAAGGUUAAGUAACCCACCCAAGGUCGAAUUAAGAACUUGAGCUAUCUUUUUAAUCACUACUCUAUAUAGACAUUUGUUGAAUAAAUGGUCAGAUGCAUUUUGAUCAAGCCUAUGCUUAUUUGAAAUAUCACAUGCUUUUUUGAACUUUAUAGAUAUAUAUUAACCAUUUGGAAAAAUGUAAGAACAAAAUCUCAUGGAAAAUGUAAAUUUCAAUCUUGCAAACUAAACAUUCGAUUUAUACACUUUCAGGAUUUACUCUGUUGUGUGAAUAUGCGUACUUUAGAAUAAAACUGGUAUCAUACUAUACAAUGAAUAUCAAGUUUUAAUUCAAUAAUGUUUAAUGAAUAAUUCCCUAUGUCAUUAAUAAUCCUCUUAUGAGUAUUAUUUUAAAAGAUACAUUAUUUUACUUCAAGAAAAUUUUAUGAUUUGUAUAAUAGAACUAUAGCUUUUGGACAUUUUGGCUACUUAUAACUUUUAGUGCUUUGAUAAUAUCAUUACAAACAUCAUUACACAUAUAUUUUAUAAUUUUUAAGAAACAAAUAUGUUCUUAAAUUUGUUUUUUAAGGAAAAUUAUUAUUGGUUGAAUGAUUACAUCAAAGGGAAAUGGAUUAUUUUCAUAUGUAAUUUCAUGCUACCUCCAACAAAGGUUUUAUCCUGAUUAUAUUGUAGACCUGAAUUCAUUUAAAUUUAUGCUGAUUUUUUUAACUUUAGAGACAUAUUGCUCAUAUUCAAGUACAUUUUAAUUCAUGUUAUAAGUAUAUGACAACAUAAACAUGUUUUGACAUCCUCUACUGAAUAUAUUCUUUUUACACCACUAAGCAUUUUUAAAAUUUAGUUUUUUAUAAAAAGGACAGAUAGGCAGGCAGGCAGAGAGAGACAGAGACAGAGAUGACAAGCAUAAACAAGGAAUUGUAGCUGUGGUCUAACAGAUUACACAUUUUUAAGCACCUAAAUUUAGAAAAUUAGGUGGUAUACUUUAUUAUUGAUCAUUUGGGGUCAAACUAGCUAAUCUGGCAACUUAAUUUUCCUAGGGAUUUAUUUGAUGUAAAAAUAUGGUCUGAUCGUUCUUCAGUGGUUCUUUCCUUUUAGGAGUCUUGCUCAUGAGAACCUGUCUUAAAACUUUUACUGCUUGAAAUAUGUAGAAAGUCCAAGGGUAAAGGAGAGUGGAAUUUGUUGUUGUUUACUAUGAAGAAUUAUCAUUGAGUCAGUUCACCUUUGGCUGGCAUCUGGGGAAAGUUUGCCUGCACGACAUGAUUAACAGCUAAAAUAUUCUUACGGCCUUUAUCUCAGCAGUCUAGAAGGUUCGAAUGAAAAGAACAUUAUCCAUAGAGGAAGUAGGAGGUAAACAUUCCUAACAAAAAUGGACACUCAAUAAAUACAUGUUAAAUAAAAGAAUAAACAAAUACGUUCAAGUCGAUUCUAGUUGUGCAGUGGUAACCCUUGUCGUAUUGGAACAGUAAUGCACAUGGACCAUGAGUCCUUGUAUUCUUCUUGAGCCAGCUUGGUGAACUUGGUCAAACCACUGACACUCAAUUGCUUCACUGGUAAAACAAAGCCAAUAGCAUCCGCUAUACUUAUCCAUUAGAUUUUUUAUCCAUUAGAUUUUUUAAUAUAUAUGAAUACAAUUUAUGAAAGUACUGUAUACUAUGUACUUAGUAUAUACUUAAUUAGUAUGAAAAUAAAGUAAAAAUACCAUAGAAAAUUAGAGGUUUAUGAAUUGCUAAUACAUGAGAUAUUUACUAGGGUGUAUAUUUACUAUGUCUUCUAAAAGUAUAAGUUUGGUAAGCAGAAAUCUCUUAGGGUUUAGCAUUUCUUUAACUGAUAGCAAAAAUUUUGAAUGUUAACUAUUUAAGUGUAUCUACAGUGACUUUCCUUUUCUUCAUGAUAUUGCCUUGUUUAUCCCUUUGAUUUAUCCUCAUGUCCCACUGAAGCAAGCUAUGCACCUUAAUGCCAUCUUGUUUAUGGGGACUAAUAAAAGAAAAUUGUCUGCAAUGGGAGAUCUGCUUUAUUUACAUGCAAAUUAAAACUAUAUUCCUUCGGUUACAGGCCAAAGAUUAUUAAUGCAUGAUGUGUAACAAUUUCAGGCAAAGGUAAAAAUGCUGUUCCUUCCUAUAAUCUAAUGCAACUGAUUUCAUUUUUGUAAAAUGGUGCAACAAAUUGAGCCAUGGCAUUUAUAGUAUCUUACGUGUUUUAUGCUGCUUUUUAAAAUUUAUAUAAGAAAUGGAAAAGAAAACACUAAAUUGCUAGACUAGUAAAGCAAUUGACUGGCUUGAAAUUUCAGGAGGCAAGGAAUAUCUGUUUUACCAUUCCAUAUUAUGACUGGAAAAAUAUAAUUCUUCUGCCCACUUUAUUGUUUCUAGAAAAAGAGUUAGUAAUAUUUAUCUUGAAAGAACAUUCUAAGAACUAAUACAAUAACUUGCCAAAUGGAUUAAAGUUUUGGAGAAGAACGGGGAUCCUGGUCAUUUUCUGGAGUCAGAUACAGUCAGUUUCCUUCUUUUGAAACUCACACAGGCAAUCAUCAGAUAUUAAGAAAGGGAUCAAGAAAUCGAGGAGGCAAAAGAACAGAAGAAGUAAAUACCUAUAGCUUGCCCAGAAGCCUAGGAAGAGAGAGAAUGCCGAAAGACUUCUAAUGUAUGGAGUUUAAACAUCAGAUGGUGAUUGAUUGCUAUUAAUUUAUGUCAGCAAAGGAGGAGAAGAAAUACGUAAAACUGCCUCUGAAGAAUUUACAUUAAACACCAAAAGAAUCUGACUCUGAAAAUGAAGAAACAAGGAAUAUUGUUUGUUUUGGGAAUCAAAAAAAAAAAAAACUUCCCAUUUGAGUACACAAUUUCCUAAACAAGAUACAUGAUAAUUCCAUACACUAUGCUUUCCGAAGAAACUUUGUAAAACGUAUUUUCAUUAUUCAAAACUUGAAAACACAGAAACAAUAUGAUGCAAAAAAUUAUCUUUAGCAUUAUUCCACUAAGAUAAUUCAUUUUAACAUCCAUAUAUUCAUUAUUAUGUAAAAUACCUAUCAGUAUGUGGGUAUAUCUUUGUGUGUAUAUUUUAACAAAACAAAAUUCAAUAAAAAUUGAAAUACAGAAAUGACAAAAACACACAAAAAAUAUAAAUUAUUUCCAUUGUAGCAUAUAUUACCUUUUUCACCUAACAUUAUACUGUAGGAAUAUAUUCUUUCAUCAUUCAAUGCUUUUGAAAAUAUAAUAAUAUUCCAUUUUAAGGACAUGCUAUAAUUUAGUUCAUUAGUUUUUAAACUUUUAGAUUAUCUCAUUUUGUCAUCAUUUAAAAAAAGUGUUCCUGGAUGUCCUUUUGCAUAGACUUUUGAAUGUAUUUCUGACUAUUUUCUUAACCUGUCCUGUACUUCUGCAAGUAGAACUGCUUGAGCAGAGAUUAGGAGCAAUUUUAAGGUUUUUCAAAAAUCUUGACAAACUAUUCUGCAGGAAAAAUGUAUCUUGUUACCAUCAGCAUUUUUAAGUAACUAGUGACUAAUUGUAAAAAUAAUUGUGUUUCCUUGUAUUUAAGCCUUGCGCUAUAGAUUUUAAAAAUUUGUCCUUUUUUUUUUUUCAUUUGUAAAAAAAAGCCAUCUAAAAGACCUUAGAACCUGGUAUCAGCUGAAGCUUACUAAACCAUAUCAAGAAGAUCAUGUCAUUCUCAAGAAAAGCAUGUUUCAAAUAAAAAGGAAAUGUCAGCCCUGAGCGUUUUUAUUAACCAUCUCCCCAUCUGACUUCAGAGACAGCUUUAGCUGACCACUUCCUCUCUCGGGUUUAUUUGUAUUAGAAAUAAGUGGAUUCAUUAACUGUGCCACUUGGUGGUCAGGCCAGGCCUGCCAGUGUCCAAUAACAGGUAAUGGUUGUAUUUUUCACGGGGUGACUGAUGUUUACUUUGUUGAUGGCCCCAGGAGCUCAUGUAAUCUGAGAUAGGUCUUUGUUUACUUCUUGUUUUACUGAUAUGCUGACCCAUUUGAAACUAGCGAGAAAGAAAAAUAAACAUUCUGGAAUAUGGUACCUGAAGUCACUCUUCCUUAGUGGCUUUAUUGUAACCUCUUCAAAGGCUUUUGUUAACCCACUCUUUUCCCAGCAAAAAACCCUGAUCUGGUCUCUUUUCCAAUUAAACCAAAAGCAAUAUCACACCAAAUAAGCAAACAGAAAAUAUUGAAAUUACCACUUAAAGAGAGUUUUAUCUGGGGUUUAAUUGUGUGUGUACUCAAGCGUUUAGUGUAGGUCAUUUGCUAAUGACAUCUAGUAAUUUUUAAAAACUGGAUAAAACUGAUACUGAGCCUGUCUACAGCAAUUUAACUAUUUUGGGGGAGUAUAAAGUUAGAUUUGUCUAUACUGACUUGUUUGCUCCAUUUUAAAAACUGUGUUGGAAUGAUUUAUUAUGGAUGAUCCAAAAUAAACGUGAAGUGAGGAAACUA
rnacentral:lncRNA from 1 species